GACGAACGCUGGCGGCGUGGAUUAGGCAUGCAAGUCGAACGGUAUCAUCCUUUCGGGGGUGAGAGAGUGGCGAACUGGUGAGUAACACGUAGGUUAUCUACCCUCAAGACGGGGACAACCCAGGGAAACUUGGGCUAAUACCGGAUGUGAGCAACUUUUAGUUGUUUGAAAGGUGGCGUAAGCUGUCGCUUGGGGAUGAGCCUGCGUCCUAUUAGUUAGUUGGUGAGGUAACGGCUCACCUAGGCAAUGAUAGGUAGGCGGCCUUAACGGGUGGUCGCCCACACUGGGAUUGAGAUACGGCCCAGACUCCUACGGGAGGCAGCAGUCGAGAAUAGUCUACAAUGGUCGGAAGACUGAUAGUGCGACGCCGCGUUGAACGAUGAAAUCCCCUUCGGGGGUGUAAAGUUCUUUUCUAUACGAGCAGUGCUAUAUAUAUGGAUAGUAUAUAUAGAGGGAUAGUAGUAUAGGAAUAAGCAAACGGGCUAAACUCCCGUGCCCAGGCAGCCGCGGUUAAAGCUU
rnacentral:rRNA from 1 species